rnacentral:rRNA from 1 species
GCAAGUCGAGGGGUAACAUUGUAGCUUGCUACAGAUGACGACCGGCGCACGGGUGCGUAACGCGUAUAGAACCUACCUUUUACAGAGGGAUAGCCUUUAGAAAUGAAGAUUAAUACCUUAUAGUAUUGCGACUCGGCAUCGGGUUGUAAUUAAAGAUUUAUCGGUAAAAGAUGGCUAUGCGUCCUAUUAGUUAGAUGGUAAGGUAACGGCUUACCAAGACAGCGAUAGGUAGGGGUCCUGAGAGGGAGAUC